UCCAUUCCGAACUCAGAAGUGAAACGAAAUAGCGCCGAUGGUAGUGUGGGGUUUCCCCAUGUGAGAGUAGGACAUCGCCAGGCU
rnacentral:rRNA from 3 species